rnacentral:rRNA from 1 species
AGUGAACGCUGGCGGCAGGCCUAACACAUGCAAGUCGAACGGCAGCACAAGAGAGCUUGCUCUCUGGGUGGCGAGUGGCGGACGGGUGAGGAAUGCAUCGGAAUCUGCCCAUUUGUGGGGGAUAACCUCGGGAAACCGGGACUAAUACCGCAUACGACCUACGGGUGAAAGCAGGGGAUCUUCGGACCUUGCGCAGAUGGAUGAGCCGAUGCCGGAUUAGCUAGUUGGAGGGGUAAAGACCCACCAAGGCGACGAUCCGUAGCUGGUCUGAGAGGAUGAUCAGCCACACUGGGACUGAGACACGGCCCAGACUCCUACGGGAGGCAGCAGUGGGGAAUAUUGGACAAUGGGCGCAAGCCUGAUCCAGCCAUGCCGCGUGUGUGAAGAAGGCCUUCGGGUUGUAAAGCACUUUUGUUGGGAAAGAAAAGCAGCCGGUUAAUACCCGGUUGUCAUGACGGUACCCAAAGAAUAAGCACCGGCUAACUUCGUG